rnacentral:lncRNA from 1 species
CGAGCCCCGCCCGAGCCGGGCGGAGCGGAGCGCGCGGAGCCUAGACCCGCUGCCGGGCCGGGGCUGGGCCGGAGCGGCGGCGCCUGGAUGCCGGCCCGGGGCUGGGCCGGAGACUGGCGCCCGCCCCGAAGCGACUUUCGGUCCCCGACCCGCUCCGCCUGACCCCUAUGAUGAAGAGGGCGUCCACUGGAGACCAAGAGCAGUGAUGACCUUUUAGCUGGAAUGGCCAGAGGGGUAACGGUGACUAAUGGUGUUAAAGGGAAGGAAAGCUCCUGCCCAUCUGCAGCACCUUCGGCAUCUGCCCCUGCCAUGACCACUGUGGAGAACAAAUCCAAGAUUAGCACAGGGCACCAACUGGACAGAGGCCUCCGGUCAGCCUCACUCUGACUGCAACCCCCUCUCACUGGACAGCAUCACCUGGACACAGAGCCUCACCUAGUCUGUGUCCCAUGGACACAACUUUGCUUUGGACAGUGACACCAAGAAUACUCACCCCUUUACUUAGCCAGACCACAGGCAGCCACCUGGACACAAACAUCUCUCCAGAGUCAGCCUCCACACAGACUCCACAGCAGAACUCCCAGGGAGGCACUGGGGCAUGGCUUCAGAGCACCAGGCAGCGCUCCGCGGUGCCUAGCACCCGCUCAGCCAGGGCAGCCUGCAGCGGAGCUUGGAGCCAGCAGCUUCUCAUCUCUUGGCCUCGGGAAAUGUAGCUGGAGUCAUCAUUUAGCAGAGCACGGUGUCCCUGGGUUGGCCACCCAGCUUAGUUUUAAAAUAAAAUAAUGUAAUCUUGGCCUAAUGGUGGAAUUUCUGACUGCUAGAUGUUCUCCUUCCAUCUGACCAGGGGAUUCAGACACAAUGUAUAGGAUGAGGGUGGGGGCCCUUCUCCCUCUGAGAGGAACCUGGAGAGGCCCGGGUUCUGCUGAGGUAGGAGAGGGUCACUCAGAGGGCUCCCACGGAACAGACAGGCACACUGAGGCCUCAGUGGGAUUAGGGCAGGAAAUGCCCCUCUUGCAAUGGGGGACCACGCCGGGUCACGCACCCACCCCCUCCAGGCUACAUUAGGCUAAGGUCACUCUGUGCAUUAUUUCAUUAUUUCACAUGGAGGGUCGCCCACGGUUGACAGAACCACAGGCUGAGCCCCAGGCCCAUCAGAGCGCAGUGCACAAC